GCUGGGCAUGGUGGCUCACGCCUGUAAUCCUAACACUUUGGGAGGCUGAGGUGGGUGGAUCACCUGAGGUCAGGAGUUCAAGACCAGCCUGGCCAACAUGGUGAAACCCCAUCUCUA
rnacentral:SRP_RNA from 1 species